UGGCAAACUCUAUUUUUUUUCAAAAUUAAUUUGACAAACUUAAGCAGAAAUCAUUAUAAAAGAAAACAAACAGCUGGAGCCUCUAGCAACUCAUCGAUACUAGAAUUGUGUAAACCCAAGCAAACACACCUUGAACUAUGUAUUUUUAAACGUACUAUAUCAUACAUAGCUUUACAUAAACCUUUACUAUAGCGAUGUUAACAGUCCGUUCAUACAAAUCGAGCUCAAAUAACAUUAUAACAUCCAAUACUCUAAGGUUACACACUAAAUCUGAACUACCCUAAGCUAUUAGCAUAAACCAUCUACUCAACAUAAAACAGAAAUUGAAAAACUGAAGCAUUUAACCACACAUAACUAAUAGUAAUUAUAGCAGAAUUUUAUGAUUUCUACUCAAACUUCAACUUGCAUUUUCAAAUCUUCAUACAUGCUAGUUAAUGCUCAACAUUACAAAAGGAAAAGAGGUGAUCACAGUAACCAGCAAUAGCAGUAGCACUCAACAGAUCAACACCCAGAUUUAACCAGUCCAGCAGUAAAAAAAAACAAUUCGGAUAAAAGGAACCAAUUGACAACUUAAACCAAGUCUUCCACUUCACAAGCUCAAACCAUUUUCACACCCAAAAAGAAUUAAAUGUCGUUCAGAAAUGAAGAAUUUCAAAAUUUAUAGCAGAAAUCUUAAUGGAAUAGUGUUUUCAAUCUUUCAGCCGUCUAUCUCCUUUUUUUUUAUCCAUAUUAGCCUCUCUUAGUAGUGCCUUUAUAGGCAAGGAAAUAGGGCACAAUGUAGUGAUCAGAUUUGUAUUUUCUGUCCCUUUUAAAUUUUAUUUUUACUUAAAAGCCCCUAAAUUUUUGACUUGCCUGCCAAGCAAGUCUAUUGCAGCUUCUAAGAAGCUUCCUCGGGUUGUUAUUAAAAGGUUCCCUAGGUUAAUUAUCCAAACCACCCCUUAGCUACCUUGUUACCCUCCUGAACCUCAAAUGGGUUAUGGGUCAAUGACCCAAAGGUUGAAUCCAUUUAGACCCCCAGCCCAAACCUGAACUUACAGGCAUGAACCUCAAUCCCAAGCGCAAUUAAAACCAAACCAUCUGAGUAAAACUGAAAACAAAAGGAAACAGAAACAAUUCGAGCAACCUUCAAAAAUCCAAUUAAUGAACAAACAUUUAAUGAAUUUGAAACUAAAACAAUAACAGACUGUUUAUUACUAAUUAAAUAAAAGAAAGCUUCUUAAAACUAAUCAUGCAUGUAAAGGAUGACUCUAAAACUGGGAAAGCAAAAGUCCAAAAGCAGAGGAAGAAGCAUACAAAAUAGACAAAUCAAAAGAAAAGGUGACAGAACAAGAAAGGUACCUAGAAGAUAGAAAAUAGCGAUGAAUCUUUACACUUUUCUAAUCUUGACUCAACCUUAGAUUACACAUGUGUUUUCUAAUCAAAAAACACUUGCAUAGCCUCAAAAUGAGCCUAAAAAUUCAAUGAGAACCUCAAUCGGACAGAACAAGAACUUUUAGGGUUGAUCUUGAUUCCAAAAUGUGAAGGCUUCCAGGGAUAUUCGAAGAAACACGGCUUCAGGUUUGGGAAGAAGGGGUCGAGCGGGUGGCCUGGUGUUAUUUUGGGCGUAUUUGGAGGUGGCGCCGCCACCAGAGGAACUGUGGCGCCGCUAGGGUUUUUAAAAUUUAAAACUUUUCUGUUGGAUUUGAGAGAAACGGAGCGUGGACUUGGGACGAGGGAGUAGAGGAGAAGCCAUGAUGUUAAUUUCAGGGAUAUUGGACACUGGCCGCCGCCGUGGGGUGAUUCCGAUGGUGGCGGACGGCGGCGAUGGAAGGAAUCUCUGGUGAGGUGAGAGAUGAGAGAUU
rnacentral:lncRNA from 1 species